rnacentral:rRNA from 1 species
GACGAACGCUGGCGGCGUGCCUAAUACAUGCAAGUAGAACGCUGAAGGAGGAGCUUGCUUCUCUGGAUGAGUUGCGAACGGGUGAGUAACGCGUAGGUAACCUGCCUGGUAGCGGGGGAUAACUAUUGGAAACGAUAGCUAAUACCGCAUAAGAGUAGAUGUUGCAUGACAUUUGCUUAAAAGGUGCAAUUGCAUCACUACCAGAUGGACCUGCGUUGUAUUAGCUAGUUGGUGGGGUAACGGCUUACCAAGGCGACGAUACAUAGCCGACCUGAGAGGGGGAUCGGCCACACUGGGACUGAGACACGGCCCAGACUCCUACGGGAGGCAGCAGUAGGGAAUCUUCGGCAAAGGACGGAAGUCUGACCGAGCAACGCCGCGUGAGUGAAGAAGGUUUUCGGAUCGUAAAGCUCUGUUGUAAGAGAAGAACGAGUGUGAGAGUGGAAAGUUCACACUGUGACGGUAUCUUACCAGAAAGGGACGGCUAACUACGUG